CCCAUCAGGAGACACAUUGUGUCAGUUGCUCCCUCUGGAGUCCUUUUAAAAGACUACUUUUUAGAGCAGUUAACAUUUUACCGAUACAUCGAUCAGAGAGUACGGAGCUUCCCACAUUGCCUCCCGCACCCCAUAGCGGGCAGAGGCACCAGCCAGGCGCCAUCCCUUACAAGCUGUUUCAGCAAAAUGUUCCUGGGAAGGAAAUGACCGCAGAAAGGAGUGUAGCGUGGGGGCAGGUGGUGCUGCGGCCAAUGGGCAGUGCUGGGAGAUGAAACCAACAGCGGCGAUUGCCCCAGAAAGAACUCGGCGCUGCUAAGGCAAUGGCGGCCCGAAGGAGGCCCCUGA
rnacentral:lncRNA from 1 species